UACAUAUCAAUAAGCGGAGGAAAAGAAACUAACAAGGAUUCCCCUAGUAACUGCGAGUGAAGCGGGAAAAGCUCAAAUUUAAAAUCUGGCAGUCUUUGGCUGUCCGAGUUGUAGUCUGGAGAAGUGUUUUCCGCGCUGGACCGUGUACAAGUCUCUUGGAAUAGAGCGUCAUAGAGGGUGAGAAUCCCGUCUUUGACACGGACCGCCAGUGCUUUGUGAUGCGCUCUCAAAGAGUCGAGUUGUUUGGGAAUGCAGCUCAAAAUGGGUGGUAAAUUCCAUCUAAAGCUAAAUAUUGGCGAGAGACCGAUAGCGAACAAGUACCGUGAGGGAAAGAUGAAAAGCACUUUGGAAAGAGAGUUAAACAGUACGUGAAAUUGCUGAAAGGGAAACGCUUGAAGUCAGUCGCGUUGUCCAGAACUCAGCCUGGCUUUUGCUUGGUGCAUUUUCUGGAUAACGGGCCAGCAUCAAUUUUGAUCGUUGGAUAAAGGUCUUGGGAAUGUGGCACCUUCGGGUGUGUUAUAGCCCUUGAUUGCAUACAACGAUUGGGAUUGAGGAUCUCAGCAUGCCUUUAUGGUCGGGGUUCGCCCACGUUCAUGCUUAGGAUGCUGGCGUAAUGGCUUUAAUCGACCCGUCUUGAAACACGGACCAAGGAGUCUAACAUGCCUGCGAGUAUUUGGGUGGUAAACCCGAGUGCGCAAUGAAAGUGAAAGUUGGGAUCUCUGUCGCGGAGAGCACCGACGCCCGGACCAGACCUUUUGUGACGGUUCCGCGGUGGAGCAUGUAUGUUGGGACCCGAAAGAUGGUGAACUAUGCCUGAAUAGGGUGAAGCCAGAGGAAACUCUGGUGGAGGCUCGUAGCGAUUCUGACGUGCAAAUCGAUCGUCAAAUUUGGGUAUAGGGGCGAAAGACUAAUCGAACCAUCUAGUAGCUGGUCCUGCG
rnacentral:rRNA from 1 species